rnacentral:misc_RNA from 1 species
UUUGAACUUGCAUUCCGUUUUUGAUUCCAUCCAUCACUAGCCUGUCAGCUGUAGCUGCCUGCGACGAAAAACAACGUGUGGGGUGAAUGGCGAAUCGCCCGUUUUGCUGAAGAAUGACUCAAGGAGCUGUCUGCGCUCAAGAAAUGGCUUGGCAACCAAAUGAAGAUGGUUUGAAGCAGAUUUUGCAACUUCUCAAGGAGUCGCAAUCGCCUAAUACGGAAACUCAGGCGGCGGUGCAACGUAGACUCGAGGAGCUCAACAAGUACCCUGAUUUCAACAACUUCUUGGUCUAUGUCCUCACAAAGCUGAAAACUGAGGAUGAAGCAACACGGUCCCUGAGUGGACUGAUAUUGAAGAACAAUGUGAGGACAUACUUCCAGAAGCUACCACCUCAAGUUGCUAGCUUUAUCAAGCAGGAAUGCCUGAAUGCAAUAGGAGAUCCCUCACCCCUCAUCAGGGCAACCAUAGGUAUUUUAAUUACGACCAUCACCCAGAAGGGCGAGCUGACCUCGUGGCCGGAGCUGCUGCCGCAGCUGUGCAAUCUGCUCGACUCAGAAGACUACAAUGUGUGCGAGGGCGCUUUCGGAGCUCUGCAGAAAAUCUGCGAGGACUCGACCGAGAUGUUGGACAGCGAGGCCCUCCCGGACCGACCGCUCAACAUUCUCAUUCCGAAGUUCCUGCAGUUUGUGCGCCACACCAGCCCAAAAAUCCGAUCGCACGCGAUCGCCUGCGUGAACCCGUUCAUCAUCAACCGGACUCAGGCGCUGAUGGUGAACAUUGACACCUUUGUGGAGAACCUGUUCCACCUGGCCACUGAUGAGGACGCCGAGGUGCGCAAGAACGUCUGCCGCGCGCUGGUCAUGCUGGUCGAGGUGCGCAUGGACCGGCUCAUCCCGCACAUGAACAACAUCAUCGAGUACAUGCUGCUGCGGACCCAGGAUCCGGACGACACCGUGGCCAUCGAGGCCUGUGAGUUCUGGCUCUCGCUGGCCGAAGAGCCCGUCUGCAAGGAGGCGCUCUCGCCCCACCUGAACCGUCUCAUACCGGUGCUGGUCCGCGGCAUGAAGUACUCCGACUUUGACAUCAUGUUGCUCAAGGGCGAUGUGGAGGAGGACUCGAUGGUCCCUGACCGGGACGAGGACAUCCGGCCGCGCUUCCAUCGGUCGCGCACCCACCAGCUGGAGCACGAGAGUAACGGCGGCGCCGGCGGCGAGGGGGCCAGCGGACUCGAUGAGGAUGAGGACGGUGAUGGCUUCGACGAGGAAGGAUCGCUUUCUGACUGGAAUCUCCGGAAGUGCAGCGCGGCGGCUCUGGACGUGCUGGCGAACGUGUUCCACGGCGAGCUGCUGCCCGUGCUGCUGCCCAUCCUGAAGGAGACGCUCUUCCACCAGGAGUGGGUCGUCAAGGAGUCGGGUAUUCUGGCGCUCGGCGCCAUCGCAGAGGGCUGUAUGGGCGGCAUGAUCCCCCAUCUGCCGGAGAUUGUGCCCUACCUCAUCAACUCGCUGUCAGACAAGAAAGCGCUGGUGCGGUCCAUCACGUGCUGGACUCUGAGUCGGUACUCGCACUGGGUGGUACAGCAGCCGCAUGAACAGUACUUGAAGCCACUCAUGGGAGAGUUACUGAAGCGCAUUCUGGACCCGAACAAGAAGGUGCAGGAGGCAGCGUGCAGUGCGUUCGCCACACUCGAGGAGGAGGCCUGCACAGAGUUGGUGCCCUAUCUGGGCUUCAUCCUGCAAACCCUGGUCUACGCCUUUAGCAAGUACCAGGCCAAGAACCUGCUGAUUCUCUACGACGCCAUCGGGACGCUGGCCGACUCUGUGGGCGUCCACCUCAACAAGCAGGAGUACAUCGACCUGCUGAUGCCGCCGCUGAUCGUCAAGUGGAACGUGCUCAAGGACGAGGACAAGGACCUGUUUCCGCUGCUCGAGUGUCUGUCGAGCGUGGCGACGGCUCUGCAGAGCGGCUUCCUGCCGUAUGCUGAGCCGGUGUUCCGGCGCUGUGUGUCUCUGGUGGAGCAGACCAUUAACCACACCGUGGCGAACCAGCAGAACCCCCAGCAGGUGGACGCUCCCGACAAGGACUUUAUGAUAGUGGCGCUAGACCUGCUGUCGGGCCUGGCCGAGGGCCUGGGCGCCCACAUUGAGCCGCUCAUCAAGUCCUCCAACCUGAUGCAGCUGCUGUUCCAGUCGAUGCAGGACUUCAUGCCGGAGGUGCGCCAGAGCAGCUUUGCUCUGCUCGGCGAUCUCACCAAGGCCUGCUUCCAGCACGUGGCGCCCAACAUCUCGGACUUCCUGACGAGCCUGGCGCAGAACCUGAACCCCGAGCUGAUCUCCGUGUGCAAUAACGCCACCUGGGCCAUCGGAGAAAUCGCCGUCAAAAUGGGUCAGGAGAUGCAGACGUACGUUCCGAUGGUGCUGCCUCAGCUGAUCCUCAUCAUCAACCGGCCCAACACGCCCAAAACGCUGCUCGAAAACACCGCGAUCACUAUCGGUCGGCUGGGGCUUGUCUGUCCGAAGGAGGUGGCGCCCCACUUGCAGCACUUCAUUCGUCAGUGGUGCACCUCGCUGCGUAACAUCCGCGACAACGAGGAGAAGGACUCGGCGUUCCGCGGCGUGUGCCACAUGAUCACGCUGAACCCGAGCGGCGUCAUCACCGACUUCAUCUUCUUCUGCGACGCCGUCGCCAGCUGGGUCAACCCCAAGCCAGACCUCAAGGAGAUGUUCCACCGCAUCCUGCACGGCUUCAAAGACCAGGUGGGCGAGGAGAACUGGCGACGGUUCAGCGACCAGUUCCCGCCCAUGCUGAAGGAGCGGCUGGCCGUCAACUACAACGUCUGAGACGUAUGCCGUUAGGAACCCCAAACAAUUGGCGGGCCGUCGCGCGGGAGGCGGGAAGCGGGCAGUGGGGGCGACAUAUCAGCUGACUGCGGGCGGGCGGGCGGGUGGGCGCGCUACGUUAAGACACCCACACACACCUAUCGAUAGGCGCCUCGCGUCCUCUCUGUCCUCGCCCGUGUUAUCUAGUUAGGACUCUGUUGCGUGUUUUAGCCUGCUCUGACUCUGCGUGUGUGCGAUACGUGUAGGCCAACCGUCCUUGCAACUAACUGCGCCGCGCUACUCGCAUCGAGAGACGGAGAGAAUCGAAGCAGAUCGCUCGCGCCGCGACCGACCGGCACCGCGCGCGCGUGCGCCGCCACCACCGUAAUGCUGAAGUGCCUUGGCUGUGAUAGGUAUUCAAUUCAUUGAUCGCGGGCCAAAUUGUACCAUAGUCUGCACCGUUACGUUGUUCAUUCUGCCGUGUCCAUCGCCCGCGGUUGCGCGCGGCUGUCGGUGCCGUCAGCGCCUUCGUCACCGUCGUCGUCGUCGUCGCCGUCGUCGUUUCGUCGUGACAUCUUGUGCCGUAUUUUUGCUGUGCGCUGCCUCACGGCGCGCUAGGGUGCGCCGCGCGCGAGGGCGGGCGGGUGGGUCUGUGAUAGGUCGUUUAACGAGCGCUCCGUGUUUUAACGUAUUUCAGGGAAGCGUCGCUCAUAUGUAUUUAUGUUGAUUGCGUGCAUGAACGUCGUCUUUUUAUUUGUCAUUUUGUCGAGCUGUUAGGCGCGUUAACCAAUGUUAGGACGGUGCGUGGUUGUCCGUCGUCGUUUCUCAACUCGCGCUGGCCGCGCGCCCGAACCGUGUCGCCUUAUGUCCGACGGCUGGCCGUAGGGACCGCGGGUGGCUGCCGCGGGCACAGGUCCCUUCUCCGGCCUGCAACACUCAGACCCGCUCACACACGGACACGGACACAUCGUGUCUGUUGUCAAACCGCCCUACUUGAUACAUGCCCCGCAUUUUGUCGUACAGCUAUGAUAUCAACGAUGCACUCAACCGGUCCGAAUUACCAGCUGCCUGUGCGCUGUGUACGCCGGCCGUCCCGCGCCGCCGCGCGUCGUCGUGCGUCUCGUUCGUCUCGCGCCGCGUCGCGCCGCUCUCGGCGGCCACACCUGCGGCCUGACUCGCUCCGCGCGUUACCGGACGACGCGCUCGCCUCAUCUUACUAGUUCCUGUACAACCGCGUGCGCCUGGGUGCGGGCGCGUCAGUGUGCGUGUGUAGGCCUUGUGGCGACUGAGCCGCCUCUACUCGCCUUUCGUUGGCGUUGCAUGCUUUCUCCAUGUAUCCAGUAAUUACGUACACAUAGACACUCGCUGUCAACGUAUAAACGCAAAAGCGCGUAACGUGUGUACCCAAGUUGCUUGCAGGCUUCUAUCGAAAUUAAUUGAAAUAAGCACGGCUAUAAGAACGUGAGCUCGCCAUUUGGCCUAUAAUCUGUUACGCGCUUUUGUGUUUGUACCGCCUACAGACAGACACACACACCCGCGCCGUCUCCGGCGGUCCCGGGAGGUCUGUGAUAGGAGCGGCCGCGCCGCGCCGCGCCUCAUGUGAUUUUACGCUUAGGAGUGUGUGGACGCGUGACUUACUCUUUCGCCCCGCGCCGGCUGGUGUCCGAAUCGCCAGCCGGCCUGGUGGCUGGCCGGGGUAUUUUUAGGCAAAUUUUGAGGUCAGGUGUCGCCAAAUGGGUCCCCCGGGAGGGAGGGGGUGCGAGGGUCCCCACAGGAACAGCAGCGGGUGGGGGGAGGGGUAGCUGAUAAGCAUACAAUAAGGCUUGACGUUCUCUGUUGUAAGUCUCCUUGGCUUAAAAUUCUCCGUUAGCCGGUGUCCAGCUUCGGGAUUGUCCAGAACGGUCGGUUAUUAACUAGCAAAUAAAGGGAGGCGUUUCACCAUGUGUUACGGCUUUGAUUUGCGCUGUGAAAUAAUACACCUGGUGGCUGCACCUUGCCGGUGAA